rnacentral:rRNA from 1 species
AAAUUGAAGAGUUUGAUCAUGGCUCAGAUUGAACGCUGGCGGCAGGCCUAACACAUGCAAGUCGAACGGUAACAGGAAUCAGCUUGCUGAUUCGCUGACGAGUGGCGGACGGGUGAGUAAUGUCUGGGAAACUGCCUGAUGGAGGGGGAUAACUACUGGAAACGGUAGCUAAUACCGCAUAACGUCGCAAG